UUCACAAACGAAUCUGUAGAGCGUCUCGACGUUUUGAUCUCCCAAGCUAGCGAUCUCUAUGAACAUGUCGUUAAGAUGCGGAUCCAAGCAGGUUUGCCGAUGGACCACUUGCGUGGCGUACUUUUACCAUGAUCUUAGAAAUUGUUGAGCUGAUGAAGUCCAUGUACGAUAUUUUUGGUUAUCCGAUUCCCAAAGCGUUGUUUGAUUCCUCCGCUCUUGAAGAGGCACGCGAACUGUGUCAUUCUAAUGCUCCGUCCCCUAAAAGAUAUAAGUAUAUCCUUGAAAUCCUCGACAAAAUUCUCAACUAAGCACCUGUCGAGAAGAAAAUGAUUAUUGACUUCUUGGAGUCCAAGUGUAGCGAAGCUUACUUCGAGAAGAAACACCUCAUGGACCGUUGCGGAUGACGAGCGUCGCCACGAUCACAACUGAAGAAGUGUGGGAUGCCAAUCUCAAGAAUAUCAUAGUUCCGCAACUCAAUCCUCCACAUUUGAAACUACAAGUAAAGGACAAGUACACGCCGAUAAUGGUACACCAGAUAGUCAUCCAACAACUCCUCUCUCAGGUUACGACAUGAUGGCGCUGAAAAGGGCUUCGAUUGAACAAGAAUACUUUAUGCUUGCAGAAGACACUGCCGCUUAAGCUGCCACGCGUAGUGAAAACUCAAAUUUGGAGGCUCUGAAUCAAAAAGUUACACGGGUCUGGAGAAGAAAAUAGAAGAAGAGAAGCACACUCAUGGUGUAAUCAAUAAGUGAGCCUCGUCACGCCAGCCGUGAAGGGGAAGCAGGCUGGCCCUUGUUCGCCGAAAUGACUAACAUGCCACGCUACCUGUCGCAGGAACGGAGGAACUACGAUGAAUUCACCCCAGCGCUUGCAGUGACAGCAUUCAAAUAUUCACGAUGGCGGAACUAAUUGGUGUGAUUUCAGCUUUCAUCCUUACAAGACAUUAAAAUAUUAGGC